rnacentral:rRNA from 1 species
GAUGAACGCUGGCGGCGUGCCUAAUACAUGCAAGUCGAGCGAACGGACGAGAAGCUUGCUUCUCUGAUGUUAGCGGCGGACGGGUGAGUAACACGUGGAUAACCUACCUAUAAGACUGGGAUAACUUCGGGAAACCGGAGCUAAUACCGGAUAAUAUUUUGAACCGCAUGGUUCAAAAGUAAAAGACGGUCUUGCUGUCACUUAUAGAUGGAUCCGCGCUGCAUUAGCUAGUUGGUAAGGUAACGGCUUACCAAGGCAACGAUGCAUAGCCGACCUGAGAGGGUGAUCGGCCACACUGGAACUGAGACACGGUCCAGACUCCUACGGGAGGCAGCAGUAGGGAAUCUUCCGCAAUGGGCGAAAGCCUGACGGAGCAACGCCGCGUGAGUGAUGAAGGUCUUCGGAUCGUAAAACUCUGUUAUUAGGGAAGAACAUAUGUGUAAGUAACUGUGCACACCUUGACGGUACCUAAUCAGAAAGCCACGGCUAACUACGUG